GCGGUAGCAGGGAGAAAGCUUGCUUUCUCCGCUGACGAGCGGCGGACGGGUGAGUAAUGUCUGGGGAUCUGCCUGAUGGAGGGGGAUAACUACUGGAAACGGUAGCUAAUACCGCAUAACGUCGCAAGACCAAAGUGGGGGACCUUCGGGCCUCAUGCCAUCAGAUGAACCCAGAUGGGAUUAGCUAGUAGGUGGGGUAAUGGCUCACCUAGGCGACGAUCCCUAGCUGGUCUGAGAGGAUGACCAGCCACACUGGAACUGAGACACGGUCCAGACUCCUACGGGAGGCAGCAGUGGGGAAUAUUGCACAAUGGGCGCAAGCCUGAUGCAGCCAUGCCGCGUGUAUGAAGAAGGCCUUCGGGUUGUAAAGUACUUUCAGUAGGGAGGAAGGUGUGAGCGUUAAUAG
rnacentral:rRNA from 1 species